UUUACGAGUUUCCGUGUCGAAUUUCGAUCGUAUAUCUUAUUUUAAACUUUUUAUGGUUAGUAUUUUUAUUAUUAUUAGAUGAUAAAAUAUAAAUAAUACUUUAUACGUAACUUAUGUUUUAAUUUUUAAAUAAAAUAAAUGAUUAAAAUUGAACAUAAAAACACAUUAUUAUACUUAGA
rnacentral:pre_miRNA from 1 species